UUAGAAUUGGAUUAAGAUAAGACAACUUUGUUCUCACUGCACUAGCCGUUCUGUCGAAAAUGACCUUAAAAGUGAGCGUUUUUCUCUUGCUGGUUAUAAUUGCCGUCUCUAUGUGUUCACAAACGCUUGCAUUUACAGCUGGAGCGGGGAACAUCCAUGUCAACGGUAACGGUAAACGAGGCGCUAAUAACAUUCAGGCUACCUAUCACCUCCGCCAAUUUUGUGCGACUGCGCAGUCCACCUGCCCAUCCUUGAGAAAAAAAGAUACCACUUUCCUCACGAUGGACCAAUCUAAAGAACAGUAGAGGGACGACGAAACUUCAAGUUACCUUCUGAGCGAAUUUUGUAGAAGACAGCGAUCAAACCAGGAUCAUGAAUAUUCAACUUUACCGUAAUUGUAGUGUUGUAGAAAAUCAGGACUGUAGAUCAGUAACUGAAAGAUAAUUUAUUUCACAGGCUGUAAAGAGGAUACUGAAAUAAACAUUAUGAGCAACCGAAAA